AUGUUACCAACAUCCUUGUUUAACUUUCUGUUCCUUCCCAUUGAGUACGACGACUAUGGAUUCAAGACCAUUCCUGAUUAUGAAGUAGAGGACGUGAAGCUCCUGGCCAAAAUCCAGGCCCUGGAGAUCCGUUCCAACAACCUGCGCAACAAUGAGAUGGUGGACAAGCCCUUGCGGACCAGGUGGGCUAACUACCUGGCCAGCCGUCCCUUGGACCAGCUGGCUCCCUCCCCGGAGCUGAAGGGCCUGAUCCGGUGUGGGAUCCCUGUGGAGUACCGGGAGCAGGUGUGGCGCUGGAUCGUGAGGACACGGAUGCAGGUCUAUAGGAAGCGGAAUCCCAAUCGCUACCAGGAGCUGAGGAAGCACUGCGAGGUGUCGGAGCACCCGGCCUCACGGCAGAUCAGGCAGGACCUGCACCGCACCCUCACCAGCAAUAAGCACUUCUCCUCGCCCACCUCCGACGCAGUCCAAAAGCUGCAGCGCAUUCUGCUAGCCUUCUCCUGGCAAAACCCCACCAUCGGCUACUGCCAGGGUCUCAACCGGUUGGCAGCUAUUGCACUUUUAGUUCUGAAGGAUGAAGAGGAUGCCUUCUGGUGUCUGGUGGCUAUUGUUGAAAUCAUAAUGCCACAAGACUACUACAGCAAAACCCUCACUGCCUCUCAGGUAAAAUAUAUCACAGCCAUAAAUAUAGAAUGAUCCCACAGUUAUGAAGUCUUCAGAAACCGGAAAAGGUAAUGGGAUACCUGAUACCGGAUGUCAGGGUAGCGGGACACUCUGAACUCCACACAUAAACCUGACGAAUUGACGAUACCCCCUGGCGACUUGGAGGGGCAAAUACUUCUCGUAAUAGUGGUUCUGUCCUGGGGAUAUGUCAUCUACGCAACAAGAAUCGCAGCAAAAUGGCAACUGGAAAAAACAUUCAAGACCACAAACUGAUCCCUCGAUUUGGAACUGAAUAUAAACACGAAUGAAACUAGAAACAUCUGAAACUUGUGUCAGAAACUCAAUGUUUAAAAAAAAAAAAAGUGAUUUUACAUUUGAUGCUCAACUGACCCUUUUUCAUUAAAUAUGGUUUAAUCAAAAUAUAUAUGGAAAAGGGUAUUUUAAAUAUUGCGCAUGUAAAAUAAAACUAUUUUUAAAGUAA